rnacentral:tRNA from 1 species
GCGGACCUGGCGGAACUGGCAGACGCGCUGGGUUUAGGUUCCAGUGUCGAAAGACGUGGGGGUUCGAGUCCCCCGGUCCGCA